GACAUCAUGUUCCCCUAAUGUGUUCCCUAAUCCUGCAAACUGGUAGGUAGAAUGAUAUCUAUCUAGAAGGUUGAUAAAAUUCAGGCCCCACCACCUGCCUGAAAACUGCUUUUCUUGGUAGGGGUUGAGGACAAAAAGGCUUCUCUUUUGGUUACUAUUGUUGCAUAACAAAUAUAUCACUUAGCUCAUCAGCUUAAAUAACUACAUUUUUAAAACUAAUUUGUUUUUAAUUGGAGGAUAAUUGCUUUACAAUAUUGUGUUGCUUUCUGCCAUAUAUCAACACGAAUCAGCUAUAGAUACACAUAUGUCCCCUCACUCUUUUUUUUUUGUCCCCUCACUCUUGAACCUCUCUCCCACCUCCCACCCCAUCGUACCUCUUAACUUUUAAAUUUUGCUCAUGAUGUUUGGGGUCAGGAAUUUGGAAAGGAAAACAGGUACAGUUUACCUUUGCUUCAAGGUGUCUAGGGGCUUAGCUCAGGCUAAAAACUAUACACAUACCCCAAUACCAAUAUUACCACUGCACAUGGAAUAUAGUUUUAAAUUUCUUUAUAGUCUUUUAUGGGCUGAACUGUGUGCCUCCAAAUUUAUAUGCUGAAAUACCUCAGAAAGUGACAAUAUCUGGAGAUAGGGUCUUCAAAGGGGUAAUUAAGGUUGAAUUCAUUAGGGCGGGUCCUAAUCCUAUGACUGGUGGUGUUAUAAGAAGAGGAGAUUAAGACAGAGACUGCACAGAAGACUGCACAGAAGACUGUGUGAAGACUCAGGGAGAAAAUAGCCAUUUACAUGCUAAGAAGAGGAGCCUCAGAAGAAACCAAUCCUGCUGACCCCUUGAUCUUGGACUUCUAGCUUCUAGAACUGUGAGGGCAGAAGCACUUCUGGCGUAAAAUUUCUGACCUCUCCUUUUUCCUUGACUCACUCCUCCCGAGGAGCGGGGAGGGACAGGAGGCCACGAAAGGGGAAGAGAAGCAGUUUCUCUGUGCUGCGGAAAUUGAGUCCCACGAGGUGACAUAACGUCCAGAUAAGACAUAAACAGGACAUCUGCUCCACUUGUUGAUUUCUUAAGGGGAUCCUGGCUCUCCCAUAGUAACAUGUGGCCCACAUGUAUCGGCCAUCAUUCAGCUGUUCACCAAGCUCUGUGCCAAGAAUGAAGAGAAGUCCAAGAAACCAGUUAUGGCCUCUGAACUAUCACGAGUGGAAUCAUCACUGGUGGCAGAGUCUUUGUGGCAAGAAGCUGUCAAGUUUGUCCUUCCAAUUCCCCCACAGAUUUAUAAAAAUGGAGCCAUGGUGUACCUGCUGAGCUUGUGUUUUUCCCACUCAAAAUUUGUAGCAUCACUACAAACAAAGCUAGUGGAGGUAAUGGAAUUCCAGUUGAGCUAUUUCAAAUCCUAAAAGAUGAUGCUGUGAAAGUGCUGCACUCAAUAUGCCAGCAAAUUUGGAAAACUCAGCAGUGGCCACAGGACUGGAAAAGGCUUCAACAAUACGUGAACCGUGAACUUCCAGAUGUUCAAGCUGGUUUUAGAAAAGGCAGAGGAACCAGAGAUCAAAUUGCCAACAUCCGCUGGAUCAUCGAAAAAGCAAGAGAGUUCCAGAAAAACAUCAAUUUCUGCUUUAUUGACUGUGCCAAAGCCUUUGACUGUGUGGAUCACAAUAAGCUUUAGAAAAUUCUGAAAGAGAUGGGAAUACCAGACCACCUGACCUGCCUCUUGAGAAACCUGUAUGCAGGUCAAGAAGCAACAGUUAGAACUGGACAUGGAACAACAGACUGGUUUCAAAUAGGAAAAAGAGUACAUCAAGACUGUAUAUUGUCACCCUGCUUAUUUAACUUAUAUGCAGAGUACAUCUGAGUCAGACAUGACUGAGCAACUUCACUUUCACUUUUCACUUUCAUCCAUUGGAGAAGGAAAUGGCAACCCACUCCAGUGUUCUUGCCUGGAGAAUCCCAGGGACAGCGGAGCCUGGUGGGCUGCUGUCUAUGGGGUCGCAUAGAGUCGGACACAACUGACAUGGCUUAGCAGCAGCAGCAGCAGCAGCAGUGCACAUCAUGAGAAACACUGGGCUGGAUGAAGCACAAGCUGGGAUCAAGAUUGCCGGGAGAAAUAUCAAUAACCUCAGAUAUGCAGAUGACACCACCCUUAUAGCAGAAAGUGAAGAACAGCCUCUUGAUGAAAGUGAAAGAGGAGAGUGAAAAAGUUGGCUUCAAGAUCAAGAUUCAGAAAACUAAGAUCAUGGCAUCCGGUCCCAUCACUUCAUGGCAAAUAGAUGGGGAAACAGUGGAAACAGUGGUUGACUUUAUUUUGGGGGGCUCCAAAAUCACUGCAGAUGGUGACUGCAGCCAUGCAAUUAAAAGACGCUUGCUCCUUGGAAGGAAAGUUAUGACCAACCUAGACAGUAUAUUAAAAAGCAGAGACAUUACUUGGCCAACAAAAGUCCUUCUAGUCAAGGCUAUGUUUUUCCCACUUGUCAUGUAUGGAUGUGAGAGUUGGGCUAUAAAGAAAGCUGAGCUCCAAAGAAUUGAUGCUUUUGAACUGUGGAGUUGGAGAAGACUCUUGAGAGUCCCUUGGACUGCAAGAAAAUCCAACCAGUCCAUCCUAAAGGAGAUCAGUCCUGGGAGUUCAUUGGAAGGACUGAUGUUGAAGCUGAAACUCUAAUACUUUGGCCACCUGAUGUGAAGAGCUGACUCAUUUGAAAAGACCCUGAUGCUGGGAAAGAUUGAGGGCAGGAGGAGAAGGGUACGGCAGAGGAUGAGAUGGUUGGAUGGCAUCACCGACUCAAUGGACAUGAGUUUGGGUAGGCUCUGGGAGUUGGUGUUGGACAUUGGAGGCCUGGAGUGCUGCGGUUCAUGGGGUUGCAAAGAGUCGGACAUGACUGAGCGACUGAACUGAACUGAACCAGUUUGUGGCUUUUAGUUUUCUUUAUGGAAUAUUUUGAUGAACAGAAGUCUUUUUAAUCUAGUUGUUUAUUGUGUUUAUUGAUUAUUUCCCUUAUGAUUUUUGUGUUUUAUUCAAUAAAUAUUUCCCACUUUCCUCGGUUAUAUUUUCUACCAAAAGUUAAAUUUUUGCUUUUCACAGUUAAAACCCUUAAUUCACCUGGAAUAGAUUUUUGUGUAUAAUAUGAAUAGAUAUCCAAUUUCUUUUUUUCUCCAAGUGGCUAACUGUGAAGAACUGGGAAAGGUCUGAGACUUAUCCUACUUGCCAAUGGAGAAGCUAGUCUGCCACAGUCUUGUUGACACUGGCAGAAUACAUGAGACUCCUGGAUCUCAGACAAAGGGCAGGAUUUAUUACUCACAGCACAGCAAACAGAGUGUUGGGUGUUGGUUUCUUUGGUCAUGUUCCCAAACAGAGGGCUAUGAGAAGAGGACUGGGUGGAACCUACAGUGCAGUGGUUUGUGUUAUGGGAAAGGAAACAAAGUUUAGAGAACCUGAACCUUUUAUAACGGGCAGUGAGUCAGCCUGAUCUUUACCCCAGUGUGUGCUGAGUCGCUUUAGUAGUGUCCGACUCUGUAGCCCCAUGGACCAUAGCCCCCCAGGCUCCUCUGUCCAUGGGAUUUCCCAGGCAAGAAUACUGGGGCGGGUUGCCAUGCCCUCCUCCAGGGGAUUUUCCUGACCUGGGCAUUGAACCCAUGUCUCUUAAUGUCUCCUGCAUUGGCGGGCGGGUUCUUUACCACCAGUGCCACCCGGGAAGCCCACUAGGGAUACGUUAUCUUCUCAGAAAACAAUAAACAAACCUACUUUCUUAUUCUGUAGGAAGACCCUAUCUCUGUUUUUUCAGAGUAAGCUAUACAAAGAGUUUUGAAAAGACAGCCUGGAAAAAGGCAGUCAAUGUCUCUGCUCACAGGAUGUUCAGAAACACAAGAGGCUCAUGUAAAAUUGUCUCCUAAUAACAACCAAUUUGGGGAGAAUCAAAUCUUAAUGAUACUGGGUUUUCCUAUCAGUGAAUAUACCUCUAUACUUGAAAACAUUUUCUUUCAAGUUUUUCACUGAAUUAUAUAAUUUCCUUCAUAAAUGUUCUCUAUAUAUUUUGCUUGAUGUAUUCUUGGGUAAUAUAAGUUAUGUUAAUGCUAUUUUUUUGAAAUUAUGUUUUCUAAUUGCUUGCUGCAUGAUAGAGAAAUGCAGCUGUAAAAAAAAACUUUAAAGAACUUCUAAAUUGUAAAGUAAAUUAAACAAAUAGAGAGCUUAGUGAAUAACUAUAAGGUGGCUACACUAGCAACCAUCUGGGUCAAGAAACAGAACUUUUCCAGUCAUAUCACAACUCCCUCUAUAUGUCCCAUUCAAUUCAGUGCCCCCUCUCUUCCUCCAAAAUAACUACUAUCCUGACUUUCAUAGCAAUCUCACUCUUGCAUUUCUUUAUGCUGUACUUUAGUUUGCCUGUCUUUUUUUUAAACACCUUGUUGUCUUUUAACUCUCUUAAUUUACAGAUUCCCCCUCCAUCCUUUCUUUUCCUUACACCUCAUCUGUUGCAGAACUCAGUCUGUUGGACACAGAAUUUUACGACCUGGAUUUCGCUGUUUGCACACUUGUGAUAUAGUCAGUCUAUCAUGUUUCCCUGCCCACUGGAUUUCCUAGAAACUGGCAGCUCAGUCCAGAUGCUCCAUCAGGAUUAGGUUUGAUUCCUUUAAGUUUUUCUUCAGGAAGUCUGGUUUUCACUCUUUUUAAAAAAUAAAAAUAUCAGCAGCCACUGAUAUUCAAUGUUUAGACUCAUUAACUGUCAGUUGCAAAAAGACAAUAUUCUAUUUCUCCCAUUUUGCUUUUAUGGAUUACUUUAAAUAACUGUUUGAGAUGCUUCCUUUUCUCUAUUAGCUGGUUAUCCAAUGGAACCGUUUAUAAAGAAUAGGCAGGAAAAGCACUUGAGUUUUCUAUUUCCCCAGUUUUUUUUUAAAGAAAUAGAAUUUUAUAUAUUGAUCUUAAAUCUAGUCAUUCAAUGAAUCUCUUAUAGAUUCUAAUAAGUUUUACCUGUAUCUUUUAUGAGGGCAGUUAUAAUUAAAAAAUGAUGACAGUUUCAUUUUUCUUUUCAAAUUCUUAUCCCUUUUACUUCUAUUUCUUGUUUUACUCUGCUGGCAAAGAUAAUGCAGUGUUGACAGAGGUAGUGAUGGUGGGCUUAUCUGUCUUAUUCUUUA